UUCUUCAGGGAAGCUGUAGACAUGGUCAGC
rnacentral:piRNA from 1 species